rnacentral:misc_RNA from 1 species
UUGCACAGUGCUCCCACUACCCUUACCACAGUAAUCAUGCAUUGUGUCAAAAUAUGUUCCCCCCACCUCAUCCUCUGGAGGACGCAAAACAUUGUGGAAAAAAAUAUUUAUGGAAUCAAAGUAGAAUUGUGGGCGUGGAGAAUUGUGAUCUCCUUCAAACUUGAUAAUAUUCUUGUCUCCAACAUAAGCUUCAAAUAUACGAUCUGAGUGAUGAGGUUGUAUAAAAUCAUCAUCAAUGGCAUGCCCAAAUAAAGCCGGAACAAAGCAAGCCUUUGCCACCUUGAUAGUGUUCAGGUCCAUUAUGUCAAACUUUGCCCUUUUCUGUACAGCUUUUCGCAUAUAUUGUAUUGCAAACUUCACAGUGAAUUUGGGGAAACGGAAUUUGUAUGUAUCCACAAGUUCCAUCAUCAGGUCAACCAAAUCAGAAAAGGGACUGUCAAGAACAAUUCCUGCAAUUGAGGGAUCUUCAGCUCCAUACAUCAGGCUGGUGACAGCACCCAUUGAACGGCCCCAUAAGCCAAUCAAAGAGACAUUUCCAUCUUGCCGCAGAUAAUCAACCACAGCCCUGAGGUCAUCUUUUUCAUUCCACCCCAGAGUGACAUGCUCUCCUCCAGAAAUUCCAGAUCCUGAGAAAUCAAGAGUGAAAACUGUAAUAUUUGAAGGCAGCAGUAUAAUAGCAGCUUCACUCGCAUCAGCCCUGCACCCACUGUUUCCAUGACAAUAUAUUACGCAUGGCAGUGGCUUUCCUCCAGGACUAACAAUGGGUAAGUAAUGACUGCACUGAAGAGUAUCUCCCUGGCUAUUUUUAAUCUCCAAAUCCUUUCUCUGGUACCAUUUCCUUUUCAGCAUAAACUCUUGAUCCAACAGGUCAUGUUUUGGAUUGUACUCAGCCCUGGGAGGCCGUAUUAUGAAGUUGACGAGCUGUUCCAUAGAGAUUGAAAACGAUCAAGUUGUUU